rnacentral:rRNA from 1 species
GAUGAACGCUGGCGGCGUGCCUAAUACAUGCAAGUCGAGCGAACAGACGAGGAGCUUGCUCCUCUGACGUUAGCGGCGGACGGGUGAGUAACACGUGGAUAACCUACCUAUAAGACUGGGAUAACUUCGGGAAACCGGAGCUAAUACCGGAUAAUAUAUUGAACCGCAUGGUUCAAUAGUGAAAGACGGUUUUGCUGUCACUUAUAGAUGGAUCCGCGCCGCAUUAGCUAGCUGGUAAGGUAACGGCUUACCAAGGCAACGAUGCGUAGCCGACCUGAGAGAGUGAUCGGCCACACUGGAACUGAGACACGGUCCAGACUCCUACGGGAGGCAGCAGUAGGGAAUCUUCCGCAAAGGGCGAAAGCCUGACGGAGCAACGCCGCGUGAGUGAUGAAGGUCUUCGGAUCGUAAAACUCUGUUAUUAGGGAAGAACAAAUGUGUAAGUAACUAUGCACGUCUUGACGGUACCUAAUCAGAAAGCCACGGCUAACUACGUG